ACGGAAGGUCCAGGCGUUAUCCGGAUUUAUUGGGUUUAAAGGGAGCGCAGGCGGACUCUUAAGUCAGUUGUGAAAUACGGCGGCUCAACCUUCGGACUGCAGUUGAUACUGGGAGUCUUGAGUGCACACAGGGAUGCUGGAAUUCAUGGUGUAGCGGUGAAAUGCUUAGAUAUCACGAAGAACUCCGAUUGCGAAGGCAGCUCACUGGAGCGCAACUGACGCUGAAGCUCGAAAGUGCGGGUAUCGAACAGGAUUAGAUACCCUGGUAGUCCGCACGGUAAACGAUGGAUGCCCGCUGUUGGUCUGAAUAGGUCAGCGGCCAAGCGAAAGCAUUAAGCAUCCCACCUGGGGAGUACGCCGGCAACGGUG
rnacentral:rRNA from 1 species